rnacentral:rRNA from 1 species
ACGCUGGCGGCAGGCCUAACACAUGCAAGUCGAGCGGUAGAGAGAAGCUUGCUUCUCUUGAGAGCGGCGGACGGGUGAGUAAUGCCUAGGAAUCUGCCUGGUAGUGGGGGAUAACGUUCGGAAACGGACGCUAAUACCGCAUACGUCCUACGGGAGAAAGCAGGGGACCUUCGGGCCUUGCGCUAUCAGAUGAGCCUAGGUCGGAUUAGCUAGUUGGUGGGGUAAUGGCUCACCAAGGCGACGAUCCGUAACUGGUCUGAGAGGAUGAUCAGUCACACUGGAACUGAGACACGGCCCAGACUCCUACGGGAGGCAGCAGUGGGGAAUAUUGGACAAUGGGCGAAAGCCUGAUCCAGCCAUGCCGCGUGUGUGAAGAAGGUCUUCGGAUUGUAAAGCACUUUAAGUUGGGAGGAAGGGCAGUAAAUUAAUACUUUGCUGUUUUGACGUUACCGACAGAAUAAGCACCGGCUAACUCUGUGCCAGCAGCCGCGGUAAUACAGAGGGUGCAAGCGUUAAUCCGAAUUACUGGGCGUAAAGCGCGCGUAGGUGGUUCGUUAAGUUGGAUGUGAAAUCCCCGGGCUCAACCUGGGAACUGCAUUCAAAACUGACGAGCUAGAGUAUGGUAGAAGGGUGGUGGAAUUUCCUGUGUAGCGGUGAAA